AUUGAACGCUGGCGGCAGGCUUAACACAUGCAAGUCGAACGAGUGGCGGACGGGUGAGUAAUGUCUGGGAAACUGCCUUAUGGAGGGGGAUAACUACUGGAAACUGUAGCUAAUACCGCAUACCAUAGGAUGGUCCCAAGUGGGAUUAGCUAGUUGGUGAGGUAAAGGCUCACCAAGCCGACGAUCCCUAGCUGGUCUGAGCGGAUGACCAGCCACACUGGAACUGAGAAACGGCCCAGACGCCUAUGGGAGGCAGCAGUGGGGAAUAUUGCACAAUGGGGGCAAGCCUGACGCAGCCAUGCCGCGUGAAUGAAGAAGGCCUUCGGGUUGUAAAGUUCUUUCGGUAGGGAGGCGUUAACUACAGAAGAAGCACCGGCUAACUCCGUGCCAGCAGCCGCGGUAAUAC
rnacentral:rRNA from 1 species